rnacentral:rRNA from 1 species
UAAUUGAAGAGUUUGAUCAUGGCUCAGAUUGAACGCUGGCGGCAGGCCUAACACAUGCAAGUCGAGCGGCAGCACAGAGAAA